CACUGCUGAAACACCGGUUCUCGUUCGAUCACCGAAGUUAAGCAUCGUAGAGCCAGGUCAGUACUUAGAUGGGGGACCGCUUGGGAACACCUGGUACUGUAAG